GUGAAUGCUCUUGUAUCGUAUCGAUAGAGAUGGAGAAGGUGUCUCAUCCAUAUCCAAGAAUUAGAUGGUUCAACUAUCACCACAUAAUAUAUAUUCGAUAGUUGGUUUGGACUUUGGAGUUCUAUGAACUCCCCUACAUUCAACAUCCAUAUGUGAUUUCUGCAGUCUGACGAUGAUGAGCUCCGUCGUCGCUAGCGGCAGGUGGUGGCGGAGACCAGAGUUUUCGAAGGUGGUUUCGGUUUUGCUACUGGGACAAUUCCUCUCAUUUAUACUUGCACUUCUCACCUUCACUUCUUCCUUUUCUGCCAAUCUCGGUCUCAAUUCACCUGUUACUCUGGGACUUUUUGGCUAUCUGGCUUUAACCAUGGUCUAUGGAAGCAUCUUGUUGUACCGACGCCAUGAACUCGUUAUUCCAUGGUAUUGGUAUGCUCUUAUAGCAUUUUUUGAUGUCCAAGGCAACUAUCUUUGUAGUUAAUUCAGCAUAUUACUUCACAUCAAUUACAAGUGUGGCGUUAUUAGAUUGUUGGACUAUUGCAUGGGUCAUACUUUUUACUUGGAUAUUUUUGGGCACAAAAUAUUCUUUAUGGGUCAUACCUUUCACUUAACAUACAAUAUGGAUGGAGUUAGAGCCAGGGAGCAAACUGGCGACAAGAUCGAAACAUCAAGAAGGAAAAUGGCCGUUUUUAAAUGAUUGGCGCAAAACCAUUAAAGUGACCAAACCACAGGGAGCAAAAUGGAAGUUAACUCUUUAAUUUAUAUGAUAUAGGAUAUGUUUGCAUGAAGCUUAUAGUAGCUUUAAGCCUUAAGAGAUUAAGCUUUUGCUUUUGAAAGAAAAGAUUCUUUUGUUUUGAUUAAGCUUGUUGCUUUUUGGGAGCAAAGUUACCCAAAUACCCUUUUCGUAUAAUAAAAUACCUUGUAAAUUUUUGUCUUUGUAUGGCAUUUUACACUUUUCGAAUAUAGCCACAACUACUUUUGCCAAACACGUCUAUCUCGGGAGACCAGCUCGCCAAAAGCUCGAAUCUAGUCGAGCUUAAACAAGCUCGAGCUCUGACCUCAGUCAGAGCUCAUCUAAUAAACGACCCCAAACCCAAGCUUCAUUUACCGAACCCGACUAGGCUCGGCUCAUUUACACCCCUACUACUUUUCCAUAACAACUUUUAAGUGCCAUAUUCGAGAGGAAGACUCUAGAAGCCGUGACAUGGUCUGCUGAACUUAUACUAACAUUUGUUGGUAACACAGUUGGGUUUUUAUUAUUUUACACGUUAACUCCUCUUAUUUUACAGGCAAGUGGCGCCACGUUGUUCAAUCUGUCACUCCUCACGUCGGAUAUGUGGGCUGUUGUCAUUCGCAUCUUUUUCUACCAACAACAGGUAGAGUGGUUAUACUAUGUAUCGUUUGCAGUUGUUGGCGUUGGUCUUCUCAUAUAUUCGAAAACGGAGAAGAGCCCCAAUCUUUCACAAGAACCUGAAAAUGGGAUCCCAAAUCCACAAUAUCAACUGGUUCAUGAGCAAGCAUCAAUUGACGUAUAGUUGUAACCAUUUUUAUACGCUUCAAGUUGGCAUAAAAAAUACCAACUUAGUCCAACAGGUUAUAGAUAGCAAUGUUAUAACCCCUAGAUUUAUGAAUGCAGUUUUAAAAGACUUAGUUUUACUAUCUUAAAAGGGGUUAAUGGCGCAGCCUGUUGCCCAUUUGCCUUCUGCUUUGAUGUAAUUUUCCUUUAGGGUUGAGACCACCAUUUUACUAAUCCUAAUAUCGUAACAUGUAAUUAAAACAACUUUCAUGACCUUGUCACCCUGCACAUAUCGAUUCAUUUGUGCGAGAUAUUGGAACCUAAUAUACUUCAUGUGUCUUACACACGCCAAA